UUCAAGGUGUUUUUAAACACCACAGCAAAGAGAAUUUUAAAGCAUA
rfam:Pelodiscus sinensis unplaced genomic scaffold scaffold992, whole genome shotgun sequence.